rnacentral:rRNA from 1 species
UGUUUCCAUUAAUCAAGAACGACAGUUAGAGGUGCGAAGGCGAUCAGAUACCGCCCUAGUUCUAACCAUAAACGAUGCCAGCCAGCGAUCCGGCUGUGUUCCUCAAAUGACACGCCGGGCAGCUUCCGGGAAACCAAAGCCUUUGGGUUCCGGGGGGAG